GACGAACGCUGGCGGCGUGCUUAACACAUGCAAGUCGAACGGAAAGGCCCUGCUUUUGUGGGGUGCUCGAGUGGCGAACUGGUGAGUAACACGUGAGUAACCUGCCCUUGACUUUGGGAUAACUUCAGGAAACUUGGGCUAAUACCGGAUAGGAGCUCCUGCUGCAUGGUGGGGGUUGGAAAGUUUCGGCGGUUGGGGAUGGACUCGCGGCUUAUCAGCUUGUUGGUGGGGUAGUGGCUUACCAAGGCUUUGACGGGUAGCCGGCCUGAGAGGGUGACCGGACACAUUGGGACUGAGAUACGGCCCAGACUCCUACGGGAGGCAGCAGUGGGGAAUAUUGCACAAUGGGCGGAAGCCUGAUGCAGCAAAGCCGCGUGCGGGAUGACGGCCUUCGGGUUGUAAACCGCUUUCGCCUGUGACGAAGCGUGAGUGACGGUAAUGGGUAAAGAAGCACCGGCUAACUACGUG
rnacentral:rRNA from 1 species